rnacentral:rRNA from 1 species
GGGUUGUGAGGUUAAGCGACUAAGCGUACACGGUGGAUGCCCUGGCAGUCAGAGGCGAUGAAGGGCGUGCUAAUCUGCGAUAAGCGCCGGUAAGGUGAUAUGAACCGUUAUAACCGGCGAUACCCGAAUGGGGAAACCCAGUGUGAUUCGUCACACUAUCAUUAACUGAAUCCAUAGGUUAAUGAGGCGAACCGGGGGAACUGAAACAUCUAAGUACCCCGAGGAAAAGAAAUCAACCGAGAUUCCCCCAGUAGCGGCGAGCGAACGGGGAGGAGCCCAGAGCCUGAAUCAGCAUGUGUGUUAGUGGAAGCGUCUGGAAAGGCGCGCGAUACAGGGUGACAGCCCCGUACACAAAAGCGCAUGUGCUGUGAGCUCGAUGAGUAGGGCGGGACACGUGGUAUCCUGUCUGAAUAUGGGGGGACCAUCCUCCAAGGCUAAAUACUCCUGACUGACCGAUAGUGAACCAGUACCGUGAGGGAAAGGCGAAAAGAACCCCGGCGAGGGGAGUGAAAAAGAACCUGAAACCGUGUACGUACAAGCAGUGGGAGCACAGGUUUACCUGUGUGACUGCGUACCUUUUGUAUAAUGGGUCAGCGACUUAUAUUCUGUAGCAAGGUUAACCGUAUAGGGGAGCCGGAGGGAAACCGAGUCUUAAU